CCUACGGGCGGCAGCAGUGAGGAAUAUUGGUCAAUGGGCGUAAGCCUGAACCAGCCAAGUCGCGUGAGGGGGGAAGUUUCUAUGGAUCGUAAACCUCUUUUAUAAGGGAAUAAAGUGUGGGACGUGUCCUAUUUUGUAUGUACCUUAUGAAUAAGGAUCGGCUAACUCCGUGCCAGCAGCCGCGGUAAUACGGAGGAUCCGAGCGUUAUCCGGAUUUAUUGGGUUUAAAGGGUGCGUAGGCGGCCUUUUGAGUCAGCGGUGAAAGUCUGUGGCUCAACCAUAGAAUUGCCGUUGAAACUGGGGGGCUUGAGUAUGUUUGAGGCAGGCGGAAUGCGUGGUGUAGCGGUGAAAUGCUUAGAUAUCACGCAGAACCCCGAUUGCGAAGGCAGCCUGCCAAGCCAUGACUGACGCUGAUGCACGAAAGCGUGGGGAUCAAACAGGAUUAGAUACCCCUGUAGUC
rnacentral:rRNA from 1 species